ACUUCCGGUUGCUAACGGUUCCCAAACAGCCCCCGAAAACGCUACGUGAGCUGGGCCCUGGGCCAGAGGCAGAAAACGGACGGAAGAAAAGGUCUGGCCGGUUCAUCAAGCUCUCUCUCCAGAUCCUCCAGUACCGUCACUGCCUCCUCUCCAGUCUCUGGAUGGUGUGCACGCACCCAUGCUUGCAGGUCUUUAGGAAGAAUGCUCAGGAACUGUUCUAGCACCAGCAGGUCUAAAAUCUGCUCCUUGGUGUGGCAUUCUGGCCUCAGCCACUGACGGCAGAGCUCCCACAGCUGGGAGAUGGGUCUCACUCUGUCACCCAGACUGGAGUGCAGUGAGUGGUGCGAUCAUAGCUUACUGCAGCCUGAAACUCCUGGGCUCAAGUGAUCUUCUCGCCUCAGCCUCCUGAGUAGCUGGAGCUACAGGUGUGAGCUACCCAGCAUGGCUCAUUUGAGAUUUCUGAGUAGAGAAGUAACAUGAUUAAACUUGGGUAUUGAGAUUAUUAUUUUGGCUGCUAUGUUAACAGUAGACUUGAAUGUGAAGGGGUUGGGCAAGGGCAGAAGCAGGGAGACAGGUUGGAAAGUUGGAGUGGGAAGGGCCUUUUUAAGAAUAACACAAACCCCUAAAGACAUAAAACUGAAAAGGCCAUGGAGGAAAAGAUAAAUGAAACUGGCCUUGUAAAAUUGAAAUAUUUGAAUGAAAAAAGUAAAAAUAAAAUAUAAACUAAAAGUAAAAUAUGCCACACAUCUAAAAGACACAGCUGAUUUUCCUGAUAUACAAAGACCUUUUAUCUUACCAAAAAAUAAAAAUAUGAACAAGCCAAUAGAAAAAUAGACAAAGUACUUAACCUGCAUGCAUUUAUUGUCAGGCCUCUGACAAUAUGAUACUAAGCCAUCAUAGCCCCUGUGACCGCCACGUAUACAUCCAGAUGACCUGGAGCAACUGAAGAACCACAAAAGAUGGCAUUCCACCAUUGAGAUUUGUUCCUGCCCCACCCCAACUAAUCAAUCGACCUUGUGACAUUCCCCCUGCCCCCGACAGUGAGUCUCAUGAUCUCCCCACCCAGCACCUUGGCACCUUGUGACCCCCGCCCCUGCCCACAAGAGAUAACCACCUUUAACUGUAAUUUUCCACUACCUACCCAAAUCCUAUAAAACUGCCCCACCCCUAUCUCCCUUUGCUGACUCUCUUUUUGGACUCAGCCCACUUGCACCCAAGUGAAAUAAACAGCCUUGUUGCUCACACAAAGCCUGUUGGUGGACUCUCUUCACACAGACUCACUUGACAUUUAUAGAACACAAAAUUAAGAAUAGUGAAUAUGAAAAGGUUCACUAAUAAGAAUUUAAACAAAACAAGAAAGAUUUUUAAGAUUGCUAAAGACAAACGAUUUAUAAUAUUCAGUGUUAGGAGGUGUGUGGAUAUACAGGCAUACUUAGUUUUACAUUUUUAGAAGGUAAGACUUAUUUAGAAGGUAAGAAGUUGUCCAUACCCCUUGAUUCAACAACUUAGCUUCUUGGAAUUAUCCAUAUAGAAAUGCUUACAUAAAUGUUUGAACGUAUGUACAAAGAAGCACUAUUUAUUUAAAUUGGGAAACUUGAAUGCCUAACAUUUGGAAUUUAAAUUUUUAUAUGUCUAUUCAUUAAAAUACCACCCAGUUUUUAGAAACUAAGAGAUGCUAAAGGUAUAUUGAGUAAAAUAAAAAGUUACAAAAGAU
rnacentral:lncRNA from 1 species